UACACAUGCAAGUCGAGCGGUAGCACAGAGAGCUUGCUCUCGGGUGACGAGCGGCGGACGGGUGAGUAAUGUCUGGGAAACUGCCUGAUGGAGGGGGAUAACUACUGGAAACGGUAGCUAAUACCGCAUAAUGUCGCAAGACCAAAGUGGGGGACCUUCGGGCCUCAUGCCAUCAGAUGUGCCCAGAUGGGAUUAGCUAGUAGGUGGGGUAACGGCUCACCUAGGCGACGAUCCCUAGCUGGUCUGAGAGGAUGACCAGCCACACUGGAACUGAGACACGGUCCAGACUCCUACGGGAGGCAGCAGUGGGGAAUAUUGCACAAUGGGCGCAAGCCUGAUGCAGCCAUGCCGCGUGUGUGAAGAAGGCCUUCGGGUUGUAAAGCACUUUCAGCGGGGAGGAAGGCGAUAAGGUUAAUAACCUUGGCGAUUGACGUUACCCGCAGAAGAAGCACCGGCUAACUCCGUGCCAGCAGCCGCGGUAAUACGGAGGGUGCAAGCGUUAAUCGGAAUUACUGGGCGUAAAGCGCACGCAGGCGGUCUGUCAAGUCGGAUGUGAAAUCCCCGGGCUCAACCUGGGAACUGCAUUCGAAACUGGCAGGCUAGAGUCUUGUAGAGGGGGGUAGAAUUCCAGGUGUAACGGUGAAAUGCGUACAGAUCUGGAGGAAUACCGGUGGCGAAGACGACCCCCUGGACAAACACUGAGACUCAGGUGCGGAAGCGUGGUGAUCGAACAGGAGUACAUACCCUGGGGGUGCACCCCCUAGAAAUGUCGAUUUUUAGGUUGUUUCCCCUGAGGAAUGG
rnacentral:rRNA from 1 species